AUCUGCCUUCAGGAGGGGGAUAACGACUGGAAACGGUCGCUAAUACCCCAUAUGCCUCCGGGUGAAAAGUAAUUCGCCUGAAGAUGAGCUCGCGUCAGAUUAGCUAGUUGGUGGGGUAAGAGCCUACCAAGGCGACGAUCUGUAGCUGGUCUGAGAGGAUGAUCAGCCACAGUGGGACUGAGACACGGCCCAGACUCCUACGGGAGGCAGCAGUGGGGAAUUUUCCGCAAUGGGCGCAAGCCUGACGGAGCAAGACCGCGUGGGGGAUGACGGCCUAAUGGUUGUAAACCCCUUUUCUCUGGGAAGAAGACUGACGGUACCAGAGGAAUCAGCCUCGGCUAACUCCGUGCCAGCAGCCGCGGUAAUACGGAGGAGGCAAGCGUUAUCCGGAAUUAUUGGGCGUAAAGCGUCCGUAGGUGGUUAUUCAAGUCUGCUGUCAAAGCGUGGGGCUUAACUCCAUAGAGGCAGUGGAAACUGAGUGACUAGAGUGCGGUAGGGGUCGAGGGAAUUCCCAGUGUAGCGGUGAAAUGCGUAG
rnacentral:rRNA from 1 species